GGCGGGGCCAGCGACUAGGAACAAACCCUCUUCUUUCUUAACUUUUCGAAUGACAGCAAGUUCUGGUUGAAGAACUGAAAGUGGAUCCAUGGAUUUAGGAAUUGUCAUUUCUGAACCAAGACUGCUCCUAACACACCACACAAGUGUUCCAGAGCUGAGGAGUUUCCUGGAAUACAGGACUGUGAGACUGAACACCAGGAAAUCCUGAGAGAAUGAGGGCAAGCCAGCCAUCCUAACUUCCAAUCCUUCAGCAAGCUCAGGAUGCCCAGAGAAAGUGGCCUGGAGUUUCCUUGGAGGCUUUUUUGGUCCCAUUUGUGAGACUGAUGUUGCCCUUAACGAUGGGGAAACCAGGAAAAUGGCAGAAAUGAAAACUGAAGAUGGCAAAGUAGAAAAACACUAUCUCUUUUACGAUGGAGAAUCUGUUUCAGGAAAGAGUCCUACAGCCCUCACCAUUCACUUGAGAACAUUAUUCCUUUGAACAGAAACAGGAUCCACUACCUGCAAAGCCCUCAUCUACAGAUCCACUUUGUUUUCUAUUUGGACACUGCAUAUAAGUGGAAUCACACUGUGGCCUUUGAAUGUGGUUCCUUUCACUGAACUGUCUUUUCAAGGCUCUGGUAGCAAGUACCCGACCUCAUUCUCUUCAACUGUAUUUUAAAUUUAAAGAUAUUUUAGCUCCAUUCAAGAAAGAUCUCUUCUUGUCCUUGUUUAUAAAAGGCGUUUGUUUUGCUUUCCAGAUAUAUUAUUCCUGGGUAUUCUGAAGUCCUCCAUGGUCUUCAGAUUAGUAGUAACUCAUUGUAAGGUUAUUAAUAAUGAUUAUUAUGUUUGUUAUUCUGACUUAUAACAGAAAAAAUUUGCCUACUUAAUUUUUUGUAAUUGAUGUAUUAUUGAAAAUAUAGGUAGCAAAGAUUUAAAGGCAUUUUCCAUGUUAAAUUUUUUUUUAAACAUUUCUGUGGGGUUGGGGGAGAGUGCAUGCCAGAGCACAUGAAUAGAGGUCAUAGGACAGCUCGUGAAAGUUGGUUCUUUCCUUCCAUCAUGUUAGGUUCUAGGGAUCAAACUCAGGUCAGCGAUUUUGGUGACAAGCGCCCUUAAUGAAUUGCCAACCUUAAUUUGUCAUUUUAGCCAUACAACCUAAUGGUAAUUCUUAUGUAUUUUAAUCUUAAUCACACUAUAUUUUCAAAGUUUUUAUCUCACUCUGAACAGAAACUUUAUAUUCUAUUAGUGGUCACUGCUCUCUCCUUGGUGACCUCUAAUCUGCUUCCUGUCGCUUUAUCUGCUCUAGCUAUUUUGUAUAAGUAGUUGCACAAUAUUUGUCCUUUGAUGACUGCAUUAUUGAGCAUGCUGCUAGGAGCCCUCCAUGUAACAGCAUGUCUGAGUAUGAACUGUUAUCUCAUGGUUUUUAAUUUCUUCCUUCCUUCCUUUCUUUCUUUCUUUUUUAAAGACAGGGACUCUAUAGCCAAGGCUAACCUUGAAUUGCUGAUCUUGGCUCCACAUCCUAAGUGUUGUGUUAAUGGGUAUGCACUACCAUGCCAGCUUUACAAUUUUUUGUUUGUUUGUUUUUUGAGACACAGUUUCUCUGUGUAGCCUUGACUGUCCUGAACUCACUUUGUACACCAGACUGGCUUUGAACUCAGAGAUCCGCCUGCCUCUGCCUCCCUGAGUGCUGGGAUUACAGGUGUGCACCACCAUACCCAACUUAAAAUUUUAAAUUUUGAUGAAUUCCAAUUUAUCUAUUAUCUAUUUUUAAAUUUUAUUUUAUUACUUGUGCUUUUGAGAAAUCACAGCCUAAGUGAAGGUCAUGAAGCUAUAUUUGUGUCUUGUGCUAAGAAUUUUUGUGUUGUACUCACUGAGGUUAUUUUUUAUUUUGAAUAAAUCUCUGUUGGGUGUGAGGUAGUCUUUCAGUCUUGUUCUUUUGAAGGUUAACUUCGAUUUGCCCCAGCACCAUUUACCCAAAAGAGAAUUACUUCUCUAUUGCAUUGUCUUGGUGCCCUUGUGCAAAUACCUUUAAAAAUUAAAACUCUCUAUCAAAAAUUUUUCGAGUGUUUUGAAUUGAUGCUAAAAUCGUUGUUUGUCUACUGCUUGAUUUCUUUUAUGUUCUGUUCUGUACCUUGUAUUCCAAAUUUAUAAAGAAAGGCAGUAAGUAAAACUCACUUUGAACCAAGAAGAUCAUUCUCUGUUAUUUUUGAAGUUUUCAGAUAGCAGCCUUAGAAAAGAAUGGCUUUUCCCUUUACAUUAGUUUUACAUGUAAAAACUAUGACUAUUAUUAUUAUUUAUUAAUUUUUAACAGGGUCUCUGUGUAGCCCUGCCUGCCCUGAAACUUGCUAUGUAGACCAGGCUAGUCUUGAACUCAGAGAUUCGCCUGCCUUUGCUUCACAAAUGUUCUUAAGAGUGUAACUACUAUCCCCAGCUUAAAAACAAUUUCUGUCAAAGCAAUUAGGUACUGCUGUCAACAUUGUUGGUUCUAUAAAAAUGAGACCGUCUUAGAUUUCAUCAAGAUAAAGCAAUUACAAUUAAUAUCAUUGGCAAUUGUUUCAAAGUGACAUUAUGAAUUUUUAUCGUUUCUAGCUUGCUUAUAUAGGGCAUUUUUACUAUUUUGUCUUUGGACAAGGACUUGAUGCUUGAUAAUAGUAAAAUACCUUGACCAAGUCACUCUGGGCUGCCCACACUGAAUGGUGCGUUUUUCCUUUUGCAAGCAGUGAACAAAGGUGUCUGUUUAGUCUGAGACUACAGUUUAUAGCUGAGCCACUUAGGUGAAAGAUGUUUGUGUAGUGCUGUUCAGCAAUGUGGAUAUGGACUAGGUUCUUGGAAGACCUGAGUUCAUGCCCCACAACCCCAGGGUAGAAGGAGAGACCCAAAUCCCAGAAGUUGUCCUUCAGCUUCACAUGUAUGCUGUGGGACAUGAGACACACACAGGCACGCUAAGUGUACAGAUAAACACAAGUAACAUGGCAAUAUGAAGGAUGACUUGGAAGUGGAUUUCACAACAAAUGCUGAUUCCCAGGAAGUAGAUUCAAUGCUCUAAGACCAUGACAAGGGCUUGACCUUGGUUGGAGGAAGGGGAUCCACAGAUUUGACAGCUAGGACUUUGUGCUGGGUUAGAUUUUGGUGGCUUUGAACAGGAAUGCAGGGGGAAGGAAAGGAGUCAGUCAAGAAAGGGGCAGUACAGAGGAACAGAGAUUGUUUUUUAGCUCAAAAUUGAAGCUGCAGUUGGUAUUUUCAUGGUAAAACCUAAGACACAACAGAGAACUGUUGUAUCCUGCAUUUUCCCCGAGGAGAACAUCCUGUGGAGAAAAGCACCCGAAAAACUGAGGAAACAGAGGACAAAUUUUCACCAGCGAUUUGAAUCUCCGGAAUCACAGGCGUCUGCAGAACAGCCUGAGAUGUAAGCCAAAUAGGACAGAGAGCAAGAACAGAAGCUGUAGCCAAGAGGUGAAGCUCAGCAGGUUAAAGAUGGUCACAGCGUGGGGAAAGUCCGACUCCAUGUCUGCCAGUCUUCCUUAUCCUGAAGUGCUGCGUUUAUUUUACAGGAUGAGUAAAGGUUCUCUGUGUACAUACAUUUUAAAAAGUGCUUUCUUGGAAACACUGGAGAAUUCUUAAGCUGCCUUUUUUGUUUUCUUUUUUACUGCACACUGAUAAGCACUCAGAUGCGUCAGCAUAAACAUUAAAGAUCUCCAUGUGUGUAGGCUGGUAUUUGUAAUUUUGCUUUCCUUGUGCAUAAUGUUGAAAAUCUUUCUUUUUCAUGCUAAUGAUUACCUCUUAUUCACUAUGUGCAAAAAAUAAAUAUUUUGUUCAAAUAAAAUGAGAAAACCUGAGCCGCCCUUAUGUCCUGCAAAGUUUUAAGGCGCGGCUCCUCAGUAUCUUUGAGAAUUGUGUUUGUUUUUACAUGUGUAUCAGAACCAACCUGAUGUUGCAUGGUGGGUGCUUCUGGAUCAUUUCAUGGCCUCCUGAAUUGUAAUCUUUGGGGUCUCUGAGGUAUGUUAAAUUUUCACCCAAGGAAUUACAUGGCAUGUCAUUGUGGCCCUCUUCCCCCGUUAACCUUUUUUCAAUUACUUUCUGUAUCACCAUGUAGGUUCUGCAGUGUCGCGCUGACAUGUUGGCAUUUUAGAGCUUGUAAAACCCAUAUCACUUCUCCGUAAAUACUCUGAAACAUGUAUAUAAAGUUUAAUUUAAGGACUCUU